UACGGGGGGGGCAAGCGUUGUUCGGAAUUACUGGGCGUAAAGGGCUCGUAGGCGGCCAACUAAGUCGGAUGUGAAAUCCCCAGGCUUAACCUGGGAACUGCAUCCGAUACUGGAUGGCUUGAAUCCGGGAGAGGGAUGCAGAAUUCCAGGUGUAGCGGUGAAAUGCGUAGAUAUCUGGAGGAAUACCGGUGGCGAAGGCGGCAUCCUGGACCGGCAUUGACGCUGAGGCGCGAAAGCUAGGGGAGCAAACGGG
rnacentral:rRNA from 1 species